rnacentral:rRNA from 1 species
AGUGAACGCUGGCGGUAGGCCUAACACAUGCAAGUCGAACGGCAGCACAGUAAGAGCUUGCUCUUACGGGUGGCGAGUGGCGGACGGGUGGGGAAUAAAUUGGAAUCUACUUUUUCGUGGGGGCUAACGUAGGGAAACUUACGCUAAUACCGCAUACGACCUACGGGUGAAAGCAGGGGAUCUUCGGACCUUGCGCGAUCGAAUGAGCCGAUGUCGGAUUAGCUAGUUGGCGGGGUAAAGGCCCACCAAGGCGAAGAUAGGUAGCCGGCCUGAGAGGGUGGACGGCCACAAGGGGACUGAGAUACGGACCUUACUCCUACGGGAGGCAGCAGUGGGGAAUAUUGGACAAUGGGGGCAACCCUGAUCCAGCAAUUCUGUGUGCACGAAGACGGUUUUCGGAUUGUAAAGUGCUUUCAGCAGGGAAGAAGGAAGUGACGGUACCUGCAGAAGAAGCGACGGCUAAAUACGUG